UAGAACUACACCGGGGACAGAAAGCAAGAAUGGAGCAGCUCAAGAGAAGAAGUUCGUCGCAGAGACAUACCAAUACCCACCGCCCGCCUUGGAAAUGGGAGUCAGGAGUAAUGGUUCCAGUCAUCUAUUUCACCAGCCUCUCACGUCCCUGCCUCAGAACCAAGAACUCUUCCCACACCCAAGAGCAUGCUGACUGGAAUCCCUUCCAGCACCUUUCUCCAGCAGCUCCCUCAAACUCCUUUUCAGGAGGCUUUAAUCCUUCAGGACAUUUUCCAUUAGCUGUACCAUCUCCUGUGACAGGACAUUGGGUUUCCUCCCAUGAGCUCUGACCAGGACCCAGGAAGUUUCCCAGAAUGGUGGGGAGAGGGGACCCCAGAGAGAUGGGAACACACCCCAGAGUCAGAAGCAGAUGGAGAAGCAGCAGCAGUGGGAGAAGCGGCAGUGAGAGC